AUCGAACGCUAGCGGGAUGCUUUACACAUGCAAGUCGAACGAGUGGCGGACGGGUGAGUAAUAUAUCGGAACGUGCCCACUAGCGGGGGAUAACUACUCGAAAGAGUGGCUAAUACCGCAUACUAUUGGAGCGGCCGAUAUCGGAUUAGCUAGUUGGUGGGGUAAAGGCCCACCAAGGCCACGAUCCGUAGCUGGUUGGAGAGGACGACCAGCGUCACUGGAACUGAAACACUGCCCAGACGCCUACGGUAGGCAGCAGUGGGUCAUUUUGGGCAAGGGGGGGAACCCUGAUCCAGCCAUCCCGCGUGUAUGCGGAGGCCUUCGGGUUGUAAAGUACUUUUGGCGGAGAAGCGGUAUCUGCAGAAUAAGCACCGGCUAACUACGUGCCAGCCGCCGCGGUAAUUC
rnacentral:rRNA from 1 species